rnacentral:rRNA from 1 species
UACGUAGGGGGGCAAGCGUUGUCCGGAUUUAUUGGGCGUAAAGAGCGUGUAGGCGGCUUGGCAAGUCCGCUGUGAAAACUCGAGGCUCAACCUCGAGACGUCGGUGGAAACUGCCUGGCUAGAGUCCGGAAGAGGAGAGCGGAAUUCCUGGUGUAGCGGUGAAAUGCGCAGAUAUCAGGAAGAACACCCGUGGCUAAGGCGGCUCUCUAGUACGGUACUGACGCUGAGACGCGAAAGCGUGGGGAGCGAACAGG